AAGUCGUAACAAGGUUUCCGUAGGUGAACCUGCGGAAGGAUCAUUAACACGUAUCCAACGUUAAACCCCCCUGUGCACCUUUAGAGGAUCUUGCAAGCCCGCGACGACAGCAAUCCUGGUAAAUCAGUGGCGAAAGUAGUCUUUGAUUCAGGACCUCUGUCGUCGUGAGAAGUAUAGCGGGCAAUUGACCUGGCCGGGCGAAUGACAGCGUCGCUGGACGGUUUCUAGGGUAAGGCACGCCAUCGCUGGAGGCUCAACACGGGCCGGCGGACAGACUGCAGGGUCCCCAUGCCCCUUCGAGACGACCAAGUUAAAUAAGGCCUCUACCACAUAGCAAGUGCGCCGUGGUAGAGGAAAACGUACAACUGUUAACAAUGGAUAUCUUGGUUCUC
rnacentral:misc_RNA from 1 species